ensembl:lncRNA
UAAUCGCCACCAAGGGGAAGCGCCAGCAGAUCACUGGAUGAGAACACACCCUGGAAAAACUUUGACCAUCUAUGAUGUUCCAAGCCUAGCUCUGCCACGAGCAGCGACACCCAGAAAUAUAAUGUCUGGCUUUGUGUGCACUGGCAUCUGCCCCUUUAACCCAGAUACUUUUGAGGAGCGAGACUUUUCACCUGUCUACUUCACCGACCACCCUUUUCCUUCAUUGGUACCAUGUGGUCCCACACCACAUUCCAACAAACACCCACUCAGCCAGAGCCUGUUUGAGGGAGGGCUGCUGCCAGAGUAUCCUGGUGGUUCAACCAGGGACGUCUGUUUAGAGCCAUCCCUAUCCACACAGCUGUCUGUUCAC